UCCCUUUACUCAGAUCUGAGCGUCCGAGAUCUCAAACUCACUGAAAUUCGACCUUUACCGGCAGUACCUUUUGUCGAUCAAAAGAGUUUUGAAGAUAAGAGUAGAAUCGGAGUUCCGACGUGAAGUUAACAAUGGGAAGCUAAUGGAGCUAUGGAGGUUGCAUAAUAGUUUUAAUGGUUAUUUUCUAAUGGAGGUCGAGUGUAGUUAGGUGGCGACUCUUCUGAUACUAGGCAUGCUCUGUUUUCUCUCCGUCCUCCUCCCUCUCGUCACUCUCUCUGUCCGUUCCUCUGUAUAUCACUUACUCUAUUUUGUUUCUGAUUUUACCAUCCUCAAACCAAACUUAGUAGCUAAACUGCUUGUGAGACAUUUUCCUCAAAUGCAUCUUUUUAUCAUAUUCAAAACUGUGUUUCAUUAUUCUAUGAUUAGACUGGCUUUCAAGAUCUGGCUAAAAUCUUCGCAUGUAUGUCAUGUCACUAAAACUGGUGUGAAGAUAACUAAGCAUAGAAUGACACAAAAGGACAAACUGUAUUUCAUUGAGUAAAGGAUGGAAUGGUUUAACGACAAGACAAACAACCUAAAAUCAGAGUCACAGCCCUAAAAUAACCCGGAUAAUAGCAACAGAACAGACAGACAAGACUUACACAAAUAGAGGGAUGGAAGGGUUUGACUCAAUAAAAUAAAUAAAAUCUGGAUCACAACCCUGAAGUAACCCAGAUAAUAGAAAAAAUAUCAAAACAAGCUACCCAGAUUCCUUCCUAGUUCAAUUGCUGAGCUUGACAUUUAGCCACAAACUUGCUCAUCAUAAUCAUCAGGGCCUUCUCCCAUUUCAAAAUCAUUAACUUUAGUCAGCAAGUUCCAAAAAGGAUUCUCAUACUCUAUGUCACCACGCAUCAUCCCCACAAAGUGUGCAUCAUCAUGUGCAGGUAAAUGAUUCUGCGCGAUAUUUCGGAUGUCACUGUCUUGGAUCACAAUUAUCUCUUCUUGAAUCAUUCUUUCUAUAUACCUUUUCAAAGCACGGCAAUCUUCAAUGCUAUUCCCUUGGACAUAGAGUGGUACAUGCACCGUAUAGCAGGAUCAAAACCUUUUGCAUAUGGGUGCGGAGUAUAGCCGAGGAGCGGCUCAAUCAGGCCAUAAUAUUUUAUCUUUUCAAACAAGCUUGUGUAGGAUUCUCCGAUUGGUGUGAAACUAUUUCUUUGCCUUUUUUCCCCUCCAUGCCCCUAUUUACUAGGGUUGUUGGAUGCUCAAAAAUGUUAUAAAGGCAAGAGUGUAUUAUGCAGUGCUGGCGCUCGCCAUAAGGAGUGACCCGGUGGUUGGACAGAUGACCGGACGUUGUUCGGAGAAUAAUACUGAGGUAGAUUAUAUGGAGCUCGAGUAUAGGUUUGGGGUUGGGGUCGGGGUCGAGGUUGAGUAUAUUGGUGAGGCGGACCCGUUGGGCUAUGUCGUGAUCCUGAGACAACCAUGGCAACAUCAUCAUGUUCCUUCUGACCCAGCAAGCUUCCUGUGUCAUUUUGAAUUGCUUGUGUUGUGGCUUUUAAAGCAGAAUAGCUCAUGAUCUUGCUUGAAUUCAGCCCAUCUUCUACCAUUUCUCCCAUUUUUACCACAUUAUUAAAAGGCUUACCCACAGCCGAGAUCAAAUGCCCAAAGUAAGUAGGCUCUUGAGCUUAAAGAAAGUACUCGACCAUCUCGUCUUCUUCCAUCCGGGGAUUGACUCGGGUAGCUUGCUCUCUCCAUCUGAGCCCGUAUUCCCUAAAGCUUUCAUUAGGCUUCUUUUCCAUCUUGGUGAGGUACAUGCAAUCCGGGACAAUUUCUAUAUUGUACUGAAAGUGCCUGGCAAAGGCCUGAGCCAUAUCGUCCCAUGUGUACCACCUGCUAGCGUCUUGGCGGGUGUACCACUCCAGAGCUGCCCCACUCAAACUCUGACAAAAAUACGCCAUCAAUAGUUUGUCCUUUCUGCCGGCGCCUCUCAUCUUACUGCAGUAGCCUCUCAAAUGGGCCACGGGAUCUCCAUGUCCGUCAUACAAAUCAAACUUUGGCAUCUUAAACCCAGCAUGCAGUUGGGCAUCAGGAAACAAGCAUAAAUCUUUGUAAGACACGCUCACUUGUAUCCCUAUCCCUUGCAUGUUUCUUAAAGACUGCUCUAAGAUUUUCACCUUCCUGGAUAUCUCAUCUUGCUCCACUAUCUUAGCAGGCUUUUCAGUUUUACCGGGAGGCUCAAAAUGAGGAGCGUCAGAGUAUGGAUCCGAGACCUUGAAAGUUGGUUCUGGAGCAUAGUGUUGGGCAUCGGGGACUUUGAACACAGUCUCGCUAGAGGAUCGAGGAAGAGUAACUGGUGGAGGAGCUACAAAAACAUGAAUGGUCAAAGGAGCGGGAUAUGAGGUGGUUUUAGGGGGUGGAGUGUGAAAAGGUUAUGGGGAGAUAUCAGCAGCAGUGAAAAUCUGGAUUUGUGACAAUGGCGGAAUGGUGAUGAGGCUUUCAGUGUAGUUAGUGGGAAACAAUGGUGGAGGACGCCCACUAAUCCAGGCUUGGUAUAUUUCGGCCAUCUGUCCUUUCAACCUUAGGACCUCUUCUUUCAACUCAGAUUCUCAUUCAACAGUCUCCUUAGGCAGAUCAACAACACUUGUGUCCAAGUCUUUGCUAGCCAUGGCUAUCUUGCUCUUUGACCUUGUGUUAUAUGGAUGAAUCGCUAGAAUGCCACAAACUAACCACCUUCUGUUAUGAUAAUAAUGAAAGUACCAAAGAGGAGCAAAACAAAACCAACAUGUUAGCGUUAGAGCAUUUAUCAUAUAGAAAUAUCACAUUGCGUGCAAUGUACCUAGCAACAAUUAACGGUUCUAGAAUGACUUCAAGGGUCACAAGGUCAUUUGGCAUCAUCCCAAUUUUGUUCAUUUCAAUCUUCUCUUUCCUUUCUUUUCUAGCAUUUCUUGGCUUGCUCAUUUUCCAUCCUCUCUUUUCUUUCUAAUUAUCACUAUUUUCUCUCUCACCCCUCACGUCCCAAAACUUCAUUCUCUUUUUUUAUUUUUUUAUUUUUUUUUAAUAAUGAUUCGAUCAAACUCUAUGUAGGUUUCCUGCAUAUCAUGUUCCACAUGAAUUAGACUAAGCGUAGUUCUGGAAAAGUAAUGGAUAAAAUAAACUAAAAUCAAAAAUCAUUUUGGAUUUUUCAUUUAUAACUAUUUUUUUUUCAAAUACAAAUAGGAAAUACGAUGACAAAAGACUCGAUAAAUUUUACACCACCUAAAAGACUCAAAACUACUAGACAAGAUAAGAAAGUAAAAGAAAACAUGAAAACAGACAAAAAAUAUAAAAAGUCACUUGAAACAAGCUCCCAAAUGCUAUGGUCCUGGGGUAUCUUUCAUGCUCGAGCUCUGGUACAUGGAUCCAUACCUGAAUGAGAAAAAUAAGACCGAAUAAAGUUAGUAACUCGAGAUAUUAUGUGAGCCAUAACACCUCCUAUUAGGCACAUGCAAGACACAAGUGGGGCUAUUUCUACAAAAUGGCUAACGAGGCCAAAAGGUGACUAGAAGUGAAAACUCAAUUAGGACGACCUCUAAAACAUGAAAACACCUCACGAAGGCCCAUAAACUCUCAGGAAUCGCGGUCCCUAAAAUUGCUUUGUGAAAAUGACCCCACUUUGCGAAAAUGGCCUAUGUGGCCGAAAAAUGGCUAAGCAUGCAAAUUCAACAGGAAUAAACCUUAGACUGAUAGAACAUCAUGUUGUGGACUUAGGACUCUAAGACAUAGGUUAACAAGCCACUUUGAGAAAAUAUCCCUACUUUGCAAAAACGACCGAUGUGGCCAAAAGUGGCUAGACAUGCAAGAUUUGGCUACGACCCUCGAAGCCAAGAACUUAAGACUCACUAGGAAGACCGGACCCUAUGUGGGCUGCCUACGUAUCCCGCCCCGAAAGACGAGAAUCAGGUAGGCGUAGUUCGUGAAGAUUGGAUACGGAAGAAAACUAAAAAAACAACUGAUUUGGAGAAAAUAUAUUUUUGUCUUUUUUGGAAAGUGAUGGGAAAGUGCAAAAUCUUUUUGGAUUUUUUCAUUUUCAUUUAUUUUUUUGGUCUUUUUCUUCAAAAAGUUGUGAAAGAAAAGUAUAACUAGGCCCUACUUGCUUCAUUUUUAUACUUCACCCUCUUUUCUUUCUCAUUUACCCUCAACCAUCAUUGGUCUGCCAAAUGACCCCUUUACCCUUAAAGAAUGCAGCAUGUAGCACAUAGGGAUGAUUAAAUAUCUUUUGUGGCCACAGGCCCAUUUUGACAAAAUUUGGAUAGGCCUCCUAUAAAGGGACAUGGCGCCCGGGACCGAGCCCUGUUAGGUCUAAAUGAUAUGAUGCAAAUAAGAAUGACCUAAAGGCUGACCUAAGUUUAGGGUUCACUAGACAAGGCAAUUCGGGGGAGCGUAUGGUCGAUGGUGGCUGCUCAAGCUUUCCACCCACUCCAUACGUCCGAUGCCCCCCUCCCCCCCUAAAAUAAGGGUGACUCAACAAAGAGUUCGUGUACGCGACGUGCACUACGAGACUUGUUGCAGAAAGAAUUGACCGGGUAAUGCAUAUGGUGACAGUUAUAAAGCAGUAACCAAUAAAGAAAAAAAAUUGUAAACACAUAAAUAACUAGCAAAUAAUAAAAUGGCAUAAACAAAAUAAAAAUCACAUAAAGUAUAACAUAAAAACCUCAACCGAAUAUUAUAAAAAGCCAAUAAGAUUAAGUACCAGCUCGAACCUGCAACUCCCAGCAGAGUCGCUAAAGCUAUCACACCCUUUUUUUUUUCACCUCACUAACCCCACUAUAAAAUAAUAAAACGAUUUUGAAAGCUCAAAAGGGUUUUCAAGUCCUAAAAGUGACAAAGGAUUGUGUUUUAAAGGAUUUUCAGAGUCGCCACCUGACAUUUGAUUUCGGUGUGCCAGGUCACCAUUUUUUAAAUAACAAUUUUCCUUCAAAAUACAUUUUUACUCUUAAACCACGUACACCAGAGAUUCUAGGUAAGGGAUUUCACUUGACUCGGGGAGAAGGUGUUAGGCAUUCCCCGAGUCCCAUGAAAGUCACGGUUGCGUACUCAAUCUAGUUGGCUUUUAAAAUAUUUAAAUUGAGGUAAAAAAACACAGAGAAAGGAAAAUAAACACACAAGAGGCUUGAGGUUGUCCCCACCUAAUAAAAGGAAUAAAAAUAAAAUAAAAUACUUAAGUUCUAUUCUACGCUUCCUCGCAUCAUCCAGUCUCUGGCCUUCAUUUACAUGUACUUCGGGGCAUUCACCGGUUAAAAUAUUUACAAACUCUUUGGGACAUAUCCCAAAAUAUAAACUAAAGGGAACGACCUCUUACCUCAAAUGAAAUAAAAAGACAAGACCUAAAGUUUGCCUACACGGGUGUGGUCAGCCUAAGUAUGCUCCUAACGAUCAAAUGAGUAUAGCGAAAUAAAGAACUAAUAGAAAUGAUCCAAAGCUCAAAUUGUUAUAACUUUUUCAAUUCUCUGCCAUGACAAUUUUGUCUUAAGGAGUCCAAAUGUGAUUUUGCUCUUUAAAUCAGGCAAACCCCCACAGCCAAUUUAUCAAUUAAAUAACAAAAUCCAACAAACCACUAAUUUGAAGCUAUAAGUGAACUAUCAUUCUUUUCUUCCUCUUAAUCAAGUUUAAUGAAUGAUAGGCUAAUGAUCUAACAAUAAUCUUUAAAGCUAAUAAUAAAAGGAAUACGAAAGCAAUAUGAGUGCCAACCAAAUGAAUACACUGCUAAUAUCAAACGAAUGACUUCAUUUCAUCAAAAGUUAAUACACAAAAUUUUAAGAAAGGCAUGAGUAAGAAUCUGACCUUAAAACAACGAGUUUGAACUUUGAUUGUUUGAUGGCUCUAAGACUCAAAAACGAACGGGACCGCGAACAAGAUCUAAAUCCGAAAACCUCACCGGAAACCUCGUCGAACUCAGACCGGAUUGCCUCGCUACCUCCCUUUACUCAGAUCUGAGCGUCCAAGACUUUAAACUCACUAAAAUUCGACCUUUAAUGGCAGUACCUUUUGUCGAUCGAAAGUAUUUUGAAGAUAAGAGUGGAAUCGAAGUUCUGACGUGAAGUUAACAAUGGGAAGCUAAUGGAGCUAUGGAGGUUGCAUAAUAGUUUUAAUGGCUAUUUUCUGUGGAGAUCGAGUGUAGUUAGGCAGCAGCUCUUCUGAUACUAGGCAUGCUCUGUUUUCUCUCCGUCCUCCUCCCUCUCGUCACUCUCUCUGUCCGUUCCUCCGUAUAUCUCUUACACUAUUUUGUUUCUGAUUUUACCAUCCUCUUCUUCUUUUUUUGAGAAGAAGGGGUGUCAGGUGCGGUUCUCCUUCAGCUAUGUGUGUGUGUGCGUGUUUUCCGGCGGAUUUUGGUGGAAAGGGGCUGGUUUUCGGUGGACUUUGGUGGCAGUCGGCGUGGUCAAGGGAGGUGGGGGUGCGGCUCUUGUUUUUGGGGUCAGGCCUGGGCGUCGGCAGUAGG
rnacentral:lncRNA from 1 species